UUGUACCAGCUGUAGGUAUCCAGAUGAAACUUGAAUUUUUCCAGCGGAAGUUUUGGACUGCCAGUAGACAGUGUCCAUCUCUUGAUGGAAGAUGUUCUAUAAGCUGUGAUGAUGAAGCAAUUAACUGCUACCUCAUAGAUAACAAUGGAUUUAUUUUAGUAUCUGAAGACUACAGACAGGUAAGUGGCAGGCUUUUCUUAACCAGUCCCAUAUCACAUGUUAGAAAAGGUUUAGUUUGUUUGAUUUUGUUUAUUAAACAUGGUCUUCAGUGUUGAAGCAUUAAGAUAAUGAUCCACAUUUAAGGAAUAAGUAGCAUGAGAUUAAAAAGAUCCCUCCCUCAAAGAAUGUAACUUGCCUCUCAGAGGGCCUCAAAGAAUUUCUAGCUCACAGUGGGGUGGGUCUGCUCUAAACUCAUAAAGUUCAAAUUAUAUAACUCUUUGCUGCAGAGGUGUCUGUUCCCCUUGAGGAAUUUUUACCUUGAGGAAGAUAGUUCUACAUGAGUUUUACCUCAUUUAGGAGGGUCUUACUCUCAAACUUGUAAUAGUGAAAUCCUACACUGUAAAUCUGUUUGUUCCUGUGUUUCUGUACCAGAUUACUGUCAUUUAAGGUACAAGAUUUAAAUUUGGCAUUCAGCACCACAAUAAAGAGGACUGGGGUAAAAUCAUGAUUACUCCAGAGAUUAUUCAAAACAUUAGAUUGUUGUGACCAUGGACAGCUGAUUGGAAAAUGGAAGACUAAUGGCCUAACUCUGUAGCCCUUACUUAGGAAACACUCCCAAUCAACUUUUGCAGGAAUUUUGCAUGAGCAGCAGCAGCAUCAGGCCCCACAUGGAACAGGAGUGUCCAAUACAGGCUCUCUUUUGGGUUGAAUCCUGUGGAGUUGUGAUCUGAAAUUCCCAUAUUUCUGGCUAGAUCUCAGCUGAAUUAAGUUUGGUUAAGUAGGUUUACUGGGAUGUAAAACCUUAAAUUCUUUCAGAGACAUCUUCCCUCACCCUGACCCUUCCUCCCACAAAAAAGAAUCAUAUUUGGGCUGACCAGACUGGUCACUUUCACCACUGCAAUUCAAUAGUGGGCAGCAGUGAAACUGACAAGAAUCAUGUUAAUUCAGUCAGCAGCUUCCAGUACCCAUAGCAACUUUUUUAUGCUGACGGCCUCAGAGUCGGAGACCCCAGGGCUUCCACACUCCUGUGCCAGAAGGCUCUCCAAGCUGUGCGAAGCCAGCUGGCCUAGCAGUCUGGAAGCCCUGGAGCACCCAGCUCUGAAGCACUCCACAUGGUGGGGCUGCCAAAGAGCUGGGACCCUGGAAGCCCUGGGGGUCCCAACUCCGAGGCAAUCAUUCAGGAGGGCUGCCAAAGAGUCAGGCAGGUGAGAUGGCAGGAAAUUAGCCAGGUUUCCUUGCGAAACCUGCCUGACAGGCAAAUUUUGAAACCUGCCUGUGUUAUAUUAGAUUAAUCAAAAUCAACAAAUUUCUGUGAAAUUUUUCACUUGUGACGGAUCAGUGUUUUCCGGUGGAAAAAUGUUUGGUUGAAAACCUUCCAACCAGCUCUAUUUCAAAGCCUAUUCUGACUGCAUCACAAGCAGGCACUCUCAUAGCAGUAUCAAGGGCACAGAGGCAGAAAUUGACUUUGACCCUCCCCCACAAAGGAGGCAAGGCAGAUGUUCAGUGCUGGGAAUGGGUGUAAUGGACACAACAAUUAGGGUCCACAGUUCUGUCACUCUACCAGAUGCUGGAAGGGCUGGAAUGGGAUUGAAUAGAGGCAGCCAGUGAGUGGGGUCCAGGGCAGCUGGCAGAUUUGCAGUGUCCUCAGAAAAACUGCUUUAGGGGAGCAAGGAGAGGUAUUUCUGCUGUGGCGGAUUGAGUGACACUGCUCAGCUGCUCAUUCUCAGGGCAGUGGCACCGUAGAAAUCCUCUCCUACCUGGCAGCCAAGAGAUUCAUCCACAGCAGGAUCUAGGGGCAGUAAAAUACUGGCAGGGCAGGAAGAAGACCCAGCAGAUCCUGAGCUAGAAGUUCCUGCACAUGAACUGAAAGAGUAAGAGCAUGAUGCCAUGGGGUGGACUCAACCCACAAGAACAGACUCGUGCUGCACAGGAGCUGGAAUUGACAGCAAUUGAGGGGGCCAAGUAGGCCUCCAAACUCAGAAGUGAGUAGAGGACUCUCCUUCUGGUGUACGCACACACACACCCCUUCACAACCUCUACACACAAGUAACAUCAUAGACAUUCAGCUUCCUGGACUUUCUUUCCUCUACAGAUGGGCUGAUUACGUUGACCUCUCCCAGCCCCUCUCCCUCACAGUCCUCCUGCUACCAGCAGACCUUCCCCUGUCCAGCCUUUCCUUACCCACUUGCUCCUAUUAACACAUCCUCUCCUCUCUUCCCUAAUCCCAUCCUGGCUCCCACAAUAAACACAAAUAGAAACACAAAACAAAGAUCCUACCAGUAACCUGACAUUUGCCAGCCUGGGCCUUUGCAUGUGUGUCAUAAUCCUUCCUCCCAAACCCGGUAUGUCUUGUUUAUUUAAAUAUUACGCUCUUCAGGGUGGGGGUCCAUGUCUGCCCAUGUGUUUGUACAGCAGCCAGCAAAUGGAGCUCAUGUCCUACCUAGGGCUCAGAGGAGCUACCACCACUGUUACCACCAACAACAAAAAAAUCGUGUCUCUUGUAGAGGAAAGCACUCACAACAUGGUGCUGCUGCAAGGACAUGGAGCAGGUGAAUGGGUAGGAAGUCUGUUACAGCAGCACCACA